AUUGAACGCUGGCGGCAGGCCUAACACAUGCAAGUCGAACGAGUGGCGGACGGGUGAGUAAUGUCUGGGAAACUGCCUGAUGGAGGGGGAUAACUACUGGAAACGGUAGCUAAUACCGCAUACCAUCAGAUGUGCCCAGAUGGGAUUAGCUAGUUGGUGGGGUAACGGCUCACCAAGGCGACGAUCCCUAGCUGGUCUGAGAGGAUUACCAGCCACACUGGAACUGAGAAAAGGUCCAGAAUCCUACGUGAGGACGGAUGGGGGAAUAUUGCACAAUGGGCGCAAGCCUGAUCCAGCCAUGCCGCGUGUGUGAAGAAGGUAUUCGGAUUGUAAAGCACUUUAAGUUGGGAGGCGUUACCAACAGAAUAAGCACCGGCUAACUUCGUGCCAGCCGCCGCGGUAAUUC
rnacentral:rRNA from 1 species